rnacentral:lncRNA from 1 species
GGCAGGAUCUACAGGGGCAGCGGAACCCAAUGUCACAGAAUCAUAGCAUUGGAAGGGACCCUGAUGCUCUAGGCCAGCGUUUCCCAAACUUAGGUCUCCAGCUAUUUUGGGGCUACAACUCCCAUCAUAUCUAGCUAGCAGGAUCAGUGGUCAGGGAUGAUGGGAUUAGUUGUCAAAAAAACAGCAGGAGACCCAAAUUUGGGAAACCCUGAUGUAGCCCAACGCCCUGCAAUGCAGGAAUAUGCAGCUGUCCCCUUACGGAGGAGAUCAAACCUGCAACCUUGGGGUGAGUGAGCUAUCCAGCUAAAAUUCUUGCACCUGUUGUGGAAUAACAUAUUGGGGGAAAGUUCUUCUUGAUGUUCACCUGGACUCCUUUCUUGUAACUUGACUCUACUGGUUCAGUUCCUACCCUCCGGAGUAGGAGAAAACAGGCUUGCUCCAUCUUCCAUGUGACCCCUUUCCAGGCUAAACAUGCCAAACUCCAUCAAAAGGCUUGAUUUCCAGACCCUUGAUCAUCUUGGUCACCCUCCUCUGCACACAUUCCAGCCUGUCAAUAUCCUUCUGAAAUUGUGGCACCCAGAAUUGGACAGUAUCCACAGGAGUUGUCAGACCAAGGUAGAAUAAGAGCAGGACGAUUACUUUCAUUGAGCAGGAUACCAUAUUCCUGUUGAUGCAGCCAAGGAUAGCAUUAGCUUUUUUUGCUGCUGCAUCACAUAUACUAAUGGCAAUCCAGGUAAACCCCAUCUUAUAUCUGUGCAGCUGGCUAUUUCUGCCCAAAUGUAGAACCUUACAUUUGUCCCUACUGAAAUUCACUGUUAGUUUUGCAUGAAAAGGAACACAAAUGUGGUGGCAUAGAAAUUGAUAAAAAAAAUUCACAGAAGGCAAAGAUACACACUGAGGGAGACAGAGUUAGGACAUAUUUCUUUAAAGUAUUGUUCCUGUGCGAAGAUGGGUAUGGUAAAGACUGGAGCUAAAAGAGGUUUGUUCCUCACGUUCUUUGAAUUUUGGCAUCAAAUAUUCUUGUGACAUCCAACAAGUUUCCAUCUCAAUUUAACACUGACAGUAUGAGAAGUAGUAUGUGGCAGAAUUUAUUAUUUGACAAUUGAGAAAAUGAGAUUAUGACAUUUAUAUGUGAUCCUAAAACUGGAGUUUUCUGGAUAGCUUACAGUGGGGGAAGAUGCAAAUAAUUAUAAAAAAGAGUAUUACUGGCACACAUGUUUGGAGGCGCUUAUAAACCCAAACCUAAAAAUUUAACAGUUAAAAUUAUGGGUGUCAAAAUAUAAAAUGGAGCAUAUGUGAAAAUUCGGUUCAACUGUACCUUCCACAUAUCCAAUAUUUAUUACUAGGUACCAGAGAUGUUUGCACCAUUUUAGUAUCAGGGUCACUAAAGCAGUCCAGAAAGCUAAACUAAGAGAAAUGUGCUACAUUGCUAAGCAAAGGCUGUUUUUCUCUCCUAGAAAAGUCUAGCAACGAUAAAUUACUAGCAGAUCCUGCAGAUGGAGACCUUGAGCACGACAUUUCUAUGCACUGAGACAGUAGGCAAACUGUUUGCUUUGUCUGCAGAUUAAUAGAUACAACAAUCCUUGGUCUCCAAGAGAAAAAUCUUAGUUGUUAUUAUUUAUUAAAAGUAUGCAUUGCUUUUCUGCCCACAAGGGUCUCCAAGGCAACAUAGAGCAAGCACAAACAAUACAUAUCAAAAACACCAAUUAAAAGCAGCAGAGGACUAUCAUUAAAACAAAACCACAGAACUAUAAAUGCAUCAAAAAGCCAGGCAGAACAAAACAAGUUUUUACAGCCCACCUUAAAAAAUAGGCAAGACUGGGCCAAGCUGACCUCCCAGGGGAGGAAUUCCACAAUGCUACAGAAAAGACCCCACCCAAGGUAUCCACCAAACUAGCAUCUCUCCAUGGUGGUACACACAACAGGGCCUCUGAUGAGGGCAAUAAUUUUUGGACCUGCUCAUACAGGAGGAAAAGAUAUCCUGGCCACAAAGCAUUUAGAGCUUUAUAGGUAAGAACCAGCACCCUGAAUUGUUCUUGAAAACAAACAAGUGUAGUUGAUGCAAGACUAGUGUUGUGGUUCCAUAAAGUGCACACUUGAUGACAGUUUUGCACCAGCUGCAAUUUCUGAUCACCCUUCAGUGAUGGCCUCAUGUAGGAAAACCCAUGUAAGAUGAGAAAACCGUUUCCUUAAAGCCUGGAAUGAACAGACAAUGCCACCAUGCAUAGAUAUUGUUAUGAGGAGUAAUAAUAUCUCCAAUAUCACUACGGAGAACAAAUAUAUAUAUA